ensembl:lncRNA
CCCACUUCCUGUUGGCGGAAUCCGUAUUUGAGCGCCCAAAUUAACAGUGCUUCCUUACAAAUUCUCCGGGAUUAAUUUUCAACCUACAGGAGGCUCGGGUCGCUCCCUAACUCCCCAGAGGGUGUAGGAUCUGUGGUCCCGGUGCCGGCUUGACGAUCCCUGGGUUCCUAGAAGGACCUCGCUACGCAGCUCUCUCAGCUGCCCGCGGUAGAGGAGAGCUAGCAAGGAUAAUAAACCGGUUUUAUUUCCAAGUGGAGCUCCAUCCAGGGACCCAGAGGUCCUUGGGCGGGCACCGAAACCACCGGGUUAAGGUAAAUUGAGGCUCCCUGAGAUUAAGUGGUUAAGCAUUGUGAGCACGAAUUAAUUUUGUAUAUCUGAUAAACAACUGUCUGUAGCACUUUGCUCUACAAUUUAAAUGUACAUAAGAAUAGAAAGCAAUGUAUAAAGAAGGUCACAGUUGAUAUGCAGCUAAGUAAUAAAUUCCAAGAAUGAACUACAGUUGAAGUUGAUUUGCAACAGAAUGUUUUGACAGCUUGUUUUGACACUAUGACAAUGAGAGAGGAGAGUGUCCUCAAGGAUAAUGUUUUAUUUGACCCUUAAAAAUAUGGUCACCUGAUACUUCUUAGGAAGAUGGUAAUCAUAAUUGAAGAAAAAAGAAAAAUUGACAGAAAUUAAUAAGUGGAAGAGCUCAGUGACUGAGAACUUUGGACUUCAAAACCCUCUAGAAAUAAAAACUUUCCAUCUGUGCUUAAGACUAGAGGUCAAGUAUUCAUUGACUAAUAAAGAUCCCCCCUCAACUAGAAAACGCCCUUUGAAAUCCAAUUAACUCUUUUACACAGACAAUUGUCAUUUUCUAUUUUAUCAAAAAGUUAAAUUUCCCAUUUUAUGUUCC